UACGAGAGGCCCAAACGUUAUUCGGAAUUACUGGGCGUAAAGCGUGCGCAGGCGGUUGUGCAAGACCGAUGCGAAAUCCCCGGGCUUAACCUGGGAAUGGCAUUGGUGACUGCACGGCUAGAGUGUGUCAGAGGGGGGUAGAAUUCCACGUGUAGCAGUGAAAUGCGUAGAGAUGUGGAGGAAUACCGAUGGCGAAGGCAGCCCCCUGGGAUAACACUGACGCUCAUGCACGAAAGCGUGGGGAGCAAACAGG
rnacentral:rRNA from 1 species